AUCGAACGCUGGCGGCAUGCCUAACACAUGCAAGUCGAGCGGAGCGGCGGACGGGUGAGUAAUGCCUAGGAAUUUGCUUGGUAGUGGGGGACCAAGUCCGGCAACGGGCGCUAAUACCGCAUACUAUUUGAUGAGCCUAGGUCGGAUUAGCUAGUUGGUGGGGCAAAGGCCUACCAAGGCGAUGAUCCGUAACUGGUCUGAGCUGAUGAUCGGUCACACUGUGACUGAGACACGGUCCAGACUCCUACGGGAGGCAGCAGUGGGGAAUAUUUGACAAUGGACGAAAGCCUGAUGCAGCCAUGCCGCGUGUGUGAAGAAGGUCUUCGGAUUGUAAAGCACUGUUGGUGGUGAAGCGGUACCAACAGAGUAAGCACCGGCUAACUACGUGCCAGCAGCCGCGGUAAUAC
rnacentral:rRNA from 1 species